CCACUCAUCACUAGAGCAUCUUGUUAAAAGGCAGAUUCUGAUUCAGGAAGUGUGAGGGGAGGUCCAGGAUCUGCAUUUCUAACCAGCUUCCAUGUGAUGCUGAU
rnacentral:pre_miRNA from 1 species